rnacentral:lncRNA from 1 species
CGUGAUCCUCAGUGGGUCCCCUCCCUCCCCCAGCACAUGAGCUGGGGACAUGACCGCGAGGGAAUGCUGGCUCUCUGGGGGAAGAGCUGCUCCCAGAGGCACGUUCUGCAGACAUCCGCGCGAGGACACCUGGCCUUCCGAUGCAGCACCUGCCUGUACCAGCACCACCGUCCCUCCGGAAGGAGGCACGAGUGGGAGGGAGGUGGCGUUCCCUGUCAACAUCCCAGUCCCCACAAGGAAGUCCUAGUUGGCCAACAAAGGGGAAAGGCAGCCUCAAUCUUCCUCCCCACCAUAUGAAACACCUGCUCUUCGGGUCCAGUUUGCUGCCUACGUUAAGUGCACCAGAAAUUUCCAAUGGAAUGACACCAUGGGUUGGCCAGACUGAGGUAGCUCUUUCUGUUCCUAUUUGUACGAUCUCUGAGAGGACUGUGGGCCUUCCUAUUUGUCACCCACUAUCUUCCUAUCCGCCUGGCCUUGCAGUUUUCCCUGGCACCCAGAGCCGGAGCUCCUACACGGUUCUGAGGUGUGGUAAGGGUGCCGACUGAGCGUCACUGAAGUAGAACAAAAAGCCCGCCUGUACCAUCUGCGGUGGAGAAUUAUAUUAUGUUUGAGCCAGAAGCACCAUACUGCUCGUGUGGCAACAACAUUUAAAUCAAAGCUGGAUGUUUUCGCUCAAUGAGAAACACCCUCUGCCUCUCCCGGCCUGUGGUCGGUCAACAUUUGAGUGGAUCCAAGUCGCUGCCAUAAGUAGAGGUGAAGAGGUGAAGAAGGGGAAAAUACUUAGCCCUCAGCUGCUUGACCAAGAAAGGGCGGGGGACAGGCUUGUGCUGGGAAGGGCAGAGUGAGAUUAGGGGUCAGUAAACUCACGUCUCGGUUUGAGCCCUGGGACCCAAGUCACUCAGUGUUCUCUGAGCCUCUCUUUGCUGUAAAAUGUGCAUGUGAGGGAUCGAUGGUGAAGUUGGCCCCAACUGCCCCUCCCUUGGCUGUACCUACGCCCUGGCUGGUAUGACUUUUCAGCUCUGGCCCUGAGAGGUAGAGCCCAUCUCCCUGCAAACUGCACGGGGGAGGGGGGUUGGGGCAUGUGGCUGGCUCUGGUCCACACAGUGCCACAGCACGACAGGGAGCCAUCUGGGAGGCCGGGCCCUGGAGGGCUGGUCCCCUUGUUCACCUCUGCUCCAUUAUCAUUGCCCGAGAGCCGGCCUGGGCCAGCCUGCUAGGAGAGGAGCUGAGGUGCGUGGCUGGCAGCUCAUGGGGCCCCCCCAGCACUCUGCCCAGUGGCCCACAGCUUUCCACAGAUACAAAGGAGAGAGCAAGUGCUGUGACCACCCGGCCACUCCCAGCCUUCGAUGCCAACCAGCUCAACCCUGAGCUAAAUAGAUGCUGUUUGCAGCUAGUAGAGUCUGGGAUGCUUUGCUCUUCAACAAUAGCUAGCUUAUGCUUGCUCUGUCUCAUAGAUGUCGUGAAGGUCAAACAAAGCCUUGUUUAUUAGAAUCCUUUGUGCAUGAUAAAUGGCGCACAGGUACAAGCUUUUUCACCAACCCCGCAAGUUUUGAUCAGUAUCAAGAUGGAGCAACAUAAACAGCCCCUUCAUUCUGCUCCCCUUUCUGCUCCAACACAUGGAAGAGCUGUUUUUUUUUCUCAUCUGAAUACUUUGGACAACCUCUCGCCUCCCUCAAUCCCUCAACCAGCACUCACUGGCCAGCUGCCAUGUGCCAGGCGCUGUUUCAGGUGCUGAGUAUAUGGGAGCGGGUGGGACAGUGAGGGAAAUAAAUCAAUGUAUACAAUGAAAGUAUUAGAAAGGCUAUGGAGAAGACAAGCAUGGGGAGGAGCAAUCAAGUAAUUGAGCAUCUAGAAGGGGAUAGUGUAGGAAGGAGGUGGCAAUGAGACCAUGAGAACUAAUGGAUGAAAGAAGCCUGAUGGAUGGUCUUUCUCAUCACAAGCUUGGAACUGCCAAGCCCCUCAGGGUCCGGUGCUUUGAUAACGAGCUGGUGGGCAUGUUAUUUGCUCACCAUUUAAUUUUACUGGUGGUAUCUCGCCAAUGCCUGACAUCACUGUAUUGCUUAUCUGGAAAUAAAGAGGCUUAGAUGUGUAUUAAUGAUGUAUUGCUGUGCCAAUGUUACCCCAAAACUUAGUGGAAUAAAAUGUAAAUGGUAUAAAUAGUUGGUGGCUCGGUUGGGCUCCCUGCUCAGUGGAGAGUCUGCUUCUCUCUCCCUCUGCUCCUCCCCCUGCUCGUGCUCUCUCUCACUCUUAUUCUCUCCCUCAAAUAAAUAAAUAAAAUCUUUAUAAAUAAAUGAAUAAAAUGCAAAUGUCAUUUAUGAUCUCAUACAGUGUCUGCAGGUCAGGAAUUUGAGAGCAGUGUGGCUGGUUCUAAUUUCCCUCUUGUCAUUGUGGUCAGGUGUUGGCUGGGACUGCAGUCAUCUGAAGGAUCAAGCAGGGCCAGAGGCUGCCCUCCUGAAGUGGCGGGAUCCCCGGUUCCUCCCCCAUGGACCUCUCCACAUGGCUGCUUGAGGGUCUUCUUGACACGGUGGCCAGCAGCCCAGAGCAGGAGGUUUGAGAGACCGGGGAGGAAGCUGGUACAUCCUUCCUGAGUGGCCUUGCAUGUCACACACCAUAUACACACCAGCCAUGAUUCAUCACAGGACUAGUGGAUGACAGGAGGACAGGGUCUUGGGGAUUGGCUACCAGAGUAAAGUCUCAUUUCUCUAAAAAAGCAAAUGACAUCGGUUACUGCUGGGGGCAGGUGGAUGUAAGUCAGAUCACUCAUGUCUCAUGCAGUUCCUCUCGUCAGAGGAGGUGUGCAACCUAAGUGUCUGGCUCCUUGUCUGUAUAUGGGUGACAUGAGAAUCAGGUCCACAGCUUGAUAAGGGCCCCUUUCUCUCCCUCCUCUUAGCUGUCUCCUAGCUGCUUGGUGGCAUGCACUGGGGCAGUUGUUAAAGAGGGUACUUGGAUUAUCAGAGACUUUGCCUGCUACCCUUUGAGUAAGUACACGCUGGAGACAACUCUGCUCAGGAUGACACCACGUCCAGUGCAGAGGCAAGCAGACCUGCUGACCUGGCGUCCACCUGUGCCCCACUCCUGGUGUUUGCUGUUUAAAAGUUAAUGCCCACUGCAAAGUGGGUGCUUCUUGCGGUUCAUCUUUG